rnacentral:sRNA from 1 species
AUGUACUACGCGUACACUGCGGUUCCUCACGCGCCGUCCGCACCCACCCGGCGACUGCUCACUACAUUUUGUCAGGC